AGCGAACGCUGGCGGCAGGCUUAACACAUGCAAGUCGAGCGGGCGUAGCAAUACGUCAGCGGCAGACGGGUGAGUAACGCGUGGGAACGUACCUUUUGGUUCGGAACAACCCAGGGAAACUUGGGCUAAUACCGGAUAAGCCCUUACGGGGAAAGAUUAUCGCCGAAAGAUCGGCCCGCGUCUGAUUAGCUAGUUGGUGAGGUAACGGCUCACCAAGGCGACGAUCAGUAGCUGGUCUGAGAGGAUGAUCAGCCACAUUGGGACUGAGACACGGCCCAAACUCCUACGGGAGGCAGCAGUGGGGGAAUAUUGGACAAUGGGCGCAAGCCUGAUCCAGCCAUGCCGCGUGAGUGAUGAAGGCCCUAGGGUUGUAAAGCUCUUUUGUGCGGGAAGAUAAUGACGGUACCGCAAGAAUAAGCCCCGCUAACUUCGUGCCAGCAGCCGCAGUAAU
rnacentral:rRNA from 1 species